UACGGAGGGUGCAAGCGUUAAUCGGAGUUACUGGGCGUAAAGCGUGCGUAGACGGUCAUGUAAGUCGGGUGUGAAAGCCCCGGGCUCAACCUGGGAAUUGCAUUCGAGACUGCAUGGCUAGGAUGCGGAAGAGGGAAGCGGAAUUUCCGGUGUAGCGGUGAAAUGCGUAGAUAUCGGAAGGAACACCAGUGGCGAAAGCGGCUUCCUGGACAACACCUGACACUGAGGCACGAAAGCUAGGGGAGCAAACAGG
rnacentral:rRNA from 1 species